AGCAGAAAAGUUAGAAAGUUUUUCAAAGGCUUUCGUGCUGACAUUUAUGACCGAGUCGCAAUGUUGAUACCUAGUUUGUAUGCAGAGGUGCUUGAAUAUGCCCAGUUGGCCAAAAAUCUUAUCUCGAUUAAGCACUAACGCUUUGCCUGAGUUCGUGCCCAACAAUUUAGAAAAUGAUUGCCUUACCCAAUAAGUAACCCUCCAGACAAACGAACCAGAAUUGCCCUU
rnacentral:lncRNA from 1 species